GACGAACGCUGGCGGCGCGCUUAACACAUGCAAGUCGAGCGAAGCGACGGACGGGUGAGUAACACGUGAGUAACCUGCCUUAGACAUUGGGAUAGCCUCGGGAAACAGGGCUUAAUACCAAAUGGUCUAAGAUGGACUCGCGUCCCAUUAGCUAGUUGGUGGGUAACGGCCCACCAAGGCGACGAUGGGUAGCCGGCCUGCGAGGGGUAACGGCUACAUUGGGACUGAGAAACGGUCCAAACUCUACGGUAGGCAGCAGUGUGGAAUAUUUCCCAAUGGAGGGAGCUCUGAUGCAGCGACGCCGGGUGAACGAAGAAGGCUUUCGAGUCGUAAAGUUCUUUUAUAUGGGAAGCGGUACCAUAAGAAAAAGCCCCGGCUAACUACGUGCCAGCAGCCGCGGUAAUUC
rnacentral:rRNA from 1 species